rnacentral:rRNA from 1 species
CCUACGGGAGGCAGCAGUGAGGAAUAUUGGUCAAUGGACGCAAGUCUGAACCAGCCACGCCGCGUGCAGGAAGACGGCUCUAUGAGUUGUAAACUGCUUUUGUACGAGGGUAAACGCAGAUACGUGUCUCUGUCUGAAAGUAUCGUACGAAUAAGGAUCGGCUAACUCCGCUCCAGCAGCCGCGGUAAUACGGAGGAUUCAAGCGUUAUCCGGAUUUAUUGGGUUUAAGGGGUGCGUAGGCGGUCGGAUAAGUUAGAGGUGAAAGCCCGAGGCUCAACUUCGGAAUUGCCUCUGAUACUGUUCGGCUAGAGAGUAGUUGCGGUAGGCGGAAUGUAUGGUGUAGCGGUGAAAUGCUUAGAGAUCAUACAGAACACCGGUUGCGAAGGCAGCUUACCAAGCUACUUCUGACGUUGAGGCACGAAAGCGUGGGGAGCAAACAGGAUUAGAUACCCUGGUAGUC